rnacentral:rRNA from 1 species
CCUACGGGAGGCAGCAGUGAGGAAUAUUGGUCAAUGGACGAGAGUCUGAACCAGCCAAGUAGCGUGAAGGAUGACUGCCCUAUGGGUUGUAAACUUCUUUUAUAAAGGAAUAAAACGAGGCACGUGUGCCUGUUUGCAUGUACUUUAUGAAUAAGGAUCGGCUAACUCCGUGCCAGCAGCCGCGGUAAUACGGAGGAUCCGAGCGUUAUCCGGAUUUAUUGGGUUUAAAGGGAGCGUAGAUGGGUUGUUAAGUCAGUUGUGAAAGUUUGCGGCUCAACCGUAAAAUUGCAAUUGAUACUGGCAGUCUUGAGUACAGUUGAGGUAGGCGGAAUUCGUGGUGUAGCGGUGAAAUGCUUAGAAAUCACGAAGAACCCCGAUUGCGAGGGCAGCUUAUUAAACUUUGACUGACAUUGAUGCUCGAAAGUGUGGGUAUCAAACAGGAUUGGAUACCCUAGUAGUC